rnacentral:rRNA from 1 species
UACGAAAGGCGCAAGCAUUAAACAUAUGAUUUGGUGUAAAGUGUUUUUUUCAACAAUAGACUGUAUUUUUACGUGUUUUGCAAAAGUUUAAAUUCAUUAUUUAAAAAUGCAUUUUAUACAAUAAUACUAGAGUAAAAUAGAGGGCAACAGAAAAUCAUUUCAGUAUGGGGUAAAAUCUCGUUAUGAUAGAAUGCCAGCGGCGAAAGCGGUUGUCUGGAUUUUUACUGACGUUUAAAAACGAAGGCUUGGGUAGCGAACAGG